UAAGAGCUGCACUCAACUCAUCGUUCUUUGUCAAUAUCUUGGGUCUUUCAGGUCAGUGUUCAGUACCCACAGUGCUCUGCUGUCCUGGACAUGAUAAUGGAUGCUACCGUGGGUGUUUUUGUGAUGAGGUUUGCCUCACCAUCGGUGACUGCUGUCCUGACUACAAUCAGACAUGCUUUGGAUCACAUUCACAGCCUUCAUCUCCAUCCUCACCACUACCAACAUGGAGCACAGCACACUCACCAACUUUGUCAUUAUCAUCAUCUAGAUUGCCAGUUACCUCAGCACCAUCAUCAUCCCCACAAUCAUCAACCUCUCCAAAAUUGUCAUCAUCUAUAGAACCACUAUCAGUUUGUAAUACUUGCACUGAAAAUGAGACUUGCCAGAAGAGAGGUGGUGUCUAUGGCUGUGGUUGCUUGCAAGGACAAACACCAAAUCCUGAAAUCUUUGAUGCUGUGGAAUCUUGUGCCAGCAGCACUGGCUUCAUAUCUCUAUCCCGCUGCCAGCUCUUUCAAUCUGGUUUUCGUCCUGAGUACCUGCACCUAAAUGACCCGAGCUGCAAAGGAACCCUGGAGAAUGGCA
rnacentral:lncRNA from 1 species